rnacentral:rRNA from 1 species
GACGAACGCUGGCGGCGUGCUUAACACAUGCAAGUCGAACGGUGAAGGGACCGGUUUUUGCUGGUUCUGGAUGAGUGGCGAACGGGUGAGUAACACGUGAGUAACCUGCCCCCUUCUUCUGGAUAACCGCAUGAAAGUGUGGCUAAUACGGGAUAUUCUGCGCCUGCUGCAUGGUGGGUGUGGGAAAGAUAUUGUUUCGGUGGGGGAUGGGCUCGCGGCCUAUCAGCUUGUUGGUGGGGUGAUGGCCUACCAAGGCGGUGACGGGUAGCCGGCCUGAGAGGGUGGCCGGUCACACUGGGACAGAGACACGGCCCAGACUCCUACGGGAGGCAGCAGGGGUGAAUAGUGCACGAUGGGAGCAAGCCUGAUGCAGCGACGCCGCGUGAGGGAUGGAGGCCGUCGGGUUGUAAACCUCUUUCGCCAGUGAAGCAGGCCUGUCCCUUUUGUGGGUGGGUUGACGGUAGCUGGAUAAGAAGCGCCGGCUAACUACGUG